AACCAUUUAAAUAAUUCCAAUACGAUUUCUUAAACAAAGACUACCCAGAACUGGUGUCACAACUUCACAGACGGUCUAGGAAUACUACAAACAAGAUCCAAAAAAUAAAUGCAACACUGUUUCUAAAUUACAUAAAUGAAACAUAAAGAAAGGAUAGAGGGAGACGCCAGGGCCUACGGACGCCUGCAGGACUACUUUGGAUCUCCGAAUGGACUGAAGGCAGCCACCCUAAGCUAAGGUCCAAAAGUUGUUGCGCCGGGAUCUGCACACAGUGCAGAGUGUAGUAUCAUCACAACCGACCCCAUGUGCUGGUAAGUGCCUAGCCUAACCUCGGCAAAGUAGUAAUGAGGCUAGGACCAGACUACCAAAUAAACCUGUGCAGUUAAAUUAUAUACGGCAGAAAACAAAAACAGGUAUGUACAGUUAGGAAUGGGAGAGGGAAACAUGCUGCAGGGAAACAUCAAUUUAAAAAUAGAAAGACAGUAAGUAAAUACGAGGAACACCAUAUCUCAAUUAUCAACAAGAAUCAGAAAUCAAAACGAGUGCACGGUAUCACCCUUCGUGCUUUUACUCUCGUCCUCACCAUAAGAAUCAAUAUAUACUACACCGCAUCACUCUUCGUGAUUUUACUCUCGUCCUCACCAUAAAAUCAAUAAAUCGGCACAGAAUUGUACAUCGUGCGGCACGACAUCACCCUUCGUGCUUUUACACUCUUCCUCACAAAAUCAUACACGACAUCACCCUUCAUGCUUUAACACUCUCUCACCAAAAUAAUGCACGUCAUCACCAUUCGUGCUUUAACACUCUUCCUCACCCAAACAACAAUCACAAGCAAUAGGGGCAAGGAAAUAAAUGAAAUAACAAUAAAAUCCCGGCAAGGGAACACUAUCAAAACAUCAACAGCCUGACAAGGGAGAUAACAUUGAAAACAACAUCCCGACAAGGGAGACAAUAUAAUAAUCUUCUUCUCUUUUUCACACUUACUUCACAACUCACUUCGCAAUAUGAGCCAAUGCUCUAUAAGAUUAAAUUGCCAAUUAUACUUCCACAAUUCAUAUACAACUUGAGCCAACGCUCUUCAAUACUCAAAUACCACCAUUACUUCCAUAAACUUUACUCAAUAAUAGACAUCAUCAAAAAAAGGCAUGAACAACACAAACGGAGUCAUAAUAAUCAUAAUAUAAGACUCACGGGCAUGAUUGACACAAACGUAUAGAUACUCGUCACCAUGCCUAUACGUAGUACUCAACAAAUAACACAUAGCAAAUAGGACACAACUCCUAAUCCCUCAAGCUAAGGUUAGACCAAACACUUACCUCGAUGCCACGAACACAAUUCAAGUCUCAACUAUUGCUUUACCUCUUGAUUCUACCACCAAUUCGCUCGUAUCUUGCCACAAGUUACUUAUCUAUAUCAAUAAGUGCUAAAUGAAUCAAUUCCAAUGCAUGAAAAUAGGUUUUCUAAAGUUUUUCCCAAAAAGUCAAAAAUUGCCCCCGUGCCUACAUGGUCAAAACCCGAGGUUUGAACCAAACCCCGAUUACCCAUUCCCCCACGAACCCAAAUAUAUAAUUUGUUUUGAAAUCGGACCUCAAAUCGAGGUCCAAAUCCCCAAAAUUUGAAAAACCUAGGUUCUACCCAAACACCCAAUUUCCCCUAUGAAAACCCUUGAUUUUGAGUUGAAAUCAUAAGAAAAGAUGUUAAAGAUUGAUAAAAAUAAGUUAGAAAUGACUUACAAUCAAUUUGGAAGAGUACUUGUCUUUGGAAAAUCGCCCAAGAGUAUUUUGGUUUUAAAAGGGUUUGAAAAAUGAGAGAUUUUCAGCUAAGUUAUAAUUUGUACAGGUGCAGAUAUCGCAAUUGCGAACCCUUCAUACGUCUGCUAUCGUCGCAUUUGUGACUAAUGAUCGCAUUUGCGAAGAUGCUUUUGCGAUGGGAUUUUCGCAAUUGCGACGAGGGGAAUUUCUGGGCCUCUUAGCAUUUGCGAAGAAGUGAUCGCAUUUGCGAUGGUCUACUCGCAUUUGCGAGCUAGGCUUCGCAAAUAUGAAGCCUGCAGACCUGCAACAUACCAGCUAAAAACCUGCAACAUCCUAAGUUAAAUUUCACACCGUGGCCUAUUCAAAACUCACCCGAGCCCUCGGGGCUCCCAACCAAACAUGCAUACCAACCUAAAAAUAUCAUACGGACUUGCUCGUGCAACCAAAUCUUGAAAAUAACGUGUAAAACUAUGAAUUAAACCUCAAACUCAUCAUUCUCAUCAAGAACACUUUAAAGUUCAUAACUCUUCAACCGGAUGUCCAAAUCAUGUCAAAUAAACUCCAUUUUUCACCAAAUUUCACAGUUAUAAUUUAAAUACUUUAACAAGUUUGUAUCGGGCUCCGGUACCAAAAUACGGUCCCGAUACCAAUGGUUUCAAACAUAAUUUCUUUUCUUUAUUUCAUAAAUAAUUCAGCAAAACAAUUCCUUUCAAAAAUUGAUUUCUAAGGCUUGGGACCUCGGAAUUCAUUUCCGGGCAUACUUCUAAGUCCCAUAUUUUAUUGCGGACCUCCCGGGAUAGUCGGAACACAAAUCCGGGUCUGUUUGCUUAAAAUGUUGACCAAAGUCAACCAAAAUCAAAAUUUUAAAUCUAGAAAUUUCUAUUUCUCAUAUUUUCACAGCCACACACACAAAUCGAGGUGAGGUAAAAAGGAGGUUUUAAGGCCUCGGAACAUAGAAUUUAUUUCUAAAAUAAGUGAUGACCUUUUGGGUCAUCACAUUCUUACUACCCCCAAGCAGACCCUUCUUGUCUCGAUCAAAUCAUAUGAACACAUCUCGUAGUCACAUCAUACUCAUCACAUAGCUAUCCAGUCAUCACUUCCCUUAAUCGGGACACUAUCGAACAUACAAAUCCAUAAAUACGCAUUCACACAAUCAACAGCUCAGGGCUCAAGCUACAGGCAAGGCCCGACCUCAAGUCCUCCAGACUGGCCCAACAUCAACACACAGAAAUCAUAUCCCGCCCCUCGAUCAAGGAAUCACAAGCCACAAAUGCACAUCUGCUACUGAGCGCUCAUGCGCGCACACGAACGCGUGGAAGGAAUUCAAGGAGUUAUAUUUCAAGCUGAAUCAAGGACGCACGAUAAGAAUUCAAGAAUGUGAAGUUUUCUUAAAGGUUCUGCAGCCUCCUGAGGAUAUGUACAUAUGUCUCUGUACCGAUCCGCGAGACUCUACUAAACNNNNNNNNNNNNNNNNNNNNNNNNNCCGACCCGGUCGUGAUGGUGCCUAUCGUGAAACUAGGAUAGCCAACACAACCCCCGAAUUAACCAUUUUAUCAAUAACGAUCACUUUUAAGCCUUUAAUUAAUCAGAUAACUCAUAAUGUGGGUCUAAAUGAAUAGUACGAAUAAAUACACAAGCCCGAUAUCGGGGUGUCACGAGUAUCUACUAAAGUUUGAAUAUAAUAAAGAGUCUGAAAAUAUACUGAAACAAUCUAAGGAAGACAAAAGGGAGAAGAGAAGGGCUAUGAACGUUGGGCAGCUACCUUGCUAACUCCGAUGACUCUGCCACUGAGCAAUCAACACCCGCUACCG
rnacentral:lncRNA from 1 species